AACAGAGUUCAGAUCCCCAAAGUGAAUUAUUGCUGCUUCUGAAAAACAAAAGAUGGAAAAGUCCCUCCUGGGUGCCUUAUUCUUGAUCUUGUAUCUUCACUUUGGCUGGGUGAGAUGCCAACAGAACGUGGAGCAGAGUCCCAGGAACCUGAGGGUUCAGGAGAGAGAGAAAGCAGCUCUCAAUUGCAAUUAUUCAAACAGUGCUUCCACAAACCUGCAGUGGUUCAAGCAGGAUCCCAGGAAAGGCCUCAUCCUCCUAUUUUACAUCACCUCAGAGGGAAAGCAGAAAGGAAGAUUAAGAUCCACACUUAACAGGAAAGAACGUCACAGCUCCUUGCACAUCUCUGAUGCUCAGCCUGGAGACUCGGGCACCUACUUCUGUGCUGUGGAGCCACAGUGAUUGCCAGUCACCUGCAGCAUGUGCAGAAACCUUGCUACUAGGACUACAGUUAUGUUCCCCGUCAAAGAGGCUAGGAUGACACCUCAAGACCAUUCCCCAGGCUCCUCUUGCCUGUUCACCCUGAGCUCAUUUC